UCUAGUCCAGGGUUUCUCAAACUCCACACUAUUGACAUUUUGGGCCAGCUAAUUCUUUCUUUGGGUGUUGGGAAAGGGAG